GGUGCGAGCGUUGUCCGGAAUCACUGGGCGUAAAGGGCGCSYAGGUGGCCUGGUAAGUAGGGGGUGAAAUCUCGAGGCUCAACUUCGAGGCUGCCUCCUAAACUGUCAGGCUCGAGCAGAGUAGAGGCAGGUGGAAUUCCCGGUGUAGCGGUGGAAUGCGUAGAGAUCGGGAAGAACAUCGGUGGCGAAGGCGGCCUGCUGGGCUCUUGCUGACACUGAGGCGCGACAGCGUGGGGAGCAAACAGGAUUAGAUACCCUGGUAGUCCACGCCGUAAACGAUGGGUACUAGGCGCCGGGGGGAGCGACCCCUUCGGUGCCGUCGCUAACGCAAUAAGUACCCCGCCUGGGGAGUACGGCCGCAAGGCUG
rnacentral:rRNA from 1 species